GCCGAAGUGGCGGAAUGGCAGACGCAGCGGAUUCAAAAUCCGCCGGGGGCAACCUCGUGAGGGUUCGAGUCCCUCCUUCGGCACCA
rnacentral:tRNA from 1 species